CCUACGGGAGGCAGCAGUGAGGAAUAUUGGUCAAUGGACGCAAGUCUGAACCAGCCAUGCCGCGUGCAGGAAGACGGCUCUAUGAGUUGUAAACUGCUUUUGUCGGGGAGCAAGCGUGCGUUCGUGAACGCGCGUCGAGAGUACCCGGAGAAAAAGCAUCGGCUAACUCCGUGCCAGCAGCCGCGGUAAUACGGAGGAUGCGAGCGUUAUCCGGAUUUAUUGGGUUUAAAGGGUGCGUAGGCGGGAUGCCAAGUCAGCGGUAAAAAUGCGGUGCUCAACGCCGUCGAGCCGUUGAAACUGGCGUUCUUGAGUGGGCGAGAAGUAUGCGGAAUGCGUGGUGUAGCGGUGAAAUGCAUAGAUAUCACGCAGAACUCCGAUUGCGAAGGCAGCAUACCGGCGCCCGACUGACGCUGAGGCACGAAAGCGUGGGUAUCGAACAGGAUUAGAUACCCCAGUAGUC
rnacentral:rRNA from 1 species